rnacentral:rRNA from 1 species
GAUGAACGCUGGCGGCGUGCCUAAUACAUGCAAGUCGAGCGAACAGACGAGAGUGCUUGCACUCUCUGACGUUAGCGGCGGACGGGUGAGUAACACGUGGGUAACCUACCUAUAAGACUGGGAUAACUUCGGGAAACCGGAGCUAAUACCGGAUAAUAUUUAGCUUCGCAUGAAGCAAUAGUGAAAGACGGUUCUGCUGUCACUUAUAGAUGGACCCGCGGUGUAUUAGCUAGUUGGUGAGGUAACGGCUCACCAAGGCAACGAUACAUAGCCGACCUGAGAGGGUGAUCGGCCACACUGGGACUGAGACACGGCCCAGACUCCUACGUGAGGCAGCAGUAGGGAAUCUUCCGCAAUGGACGAAAGUCUGACGGAGCAAUGCCGCGUGAGUGAAGAAGGUUUUCGGAUCGUAAAACUCUGUUGUAAGGGAAGAACAAGUACGUUAGUAACUGAACGUACCUUGACGGUACCUUACCAGAAAGCCACGGCUAGCUACGUG